rnacentral:rRNA from 1 species
UACGUAGGGGGCAAGCGUUAUCCGGAAUCACUGGGCGUAAAGGGUGCGUAGGUGGCUCAUCAAGCCAGAGGUGAAAGGCAUUGGCUCAACCAAUGUAAGCCUUUGGAACUGAAGAGCUUGAGUGCAGGAGAGGUAAGUGGAAUUCCUAGUGUAGAGGUGAAAUUCGUAGAUAUUAGGAGGAACACCAGUGGCGAAGGCGACUUACUGGACUGUAACUGACACUGAGGCACGAAAGCGUGGGUAGCGAACAGG